rnacentral:rRNA from 1 species
GAUGAACGCUGGCGGCGUGCUUAAGACAUGCAAGUCGAACGAAGAGGUUGUAGCAAUACGGUCUCUUAGUGGCGAAUGGGUGCGUAACACGUAGGUGACCUACCCCGAAGUGUGGAAUAACAGUUCGAAAGGACUGCUAAUACCGCAUGUGGUCCCGGGUUUUAGAAAGCCGGGUCUAAAGCAGUAAUGCGCUUCGGGAGGGGCCUGCGGCCCAUCAGCUUGUUGGUAGGGUAAUGGCCUACCAAGGCUACGACGGGUAGGGGACCUGAGAGGGUGGCCCCCCACAAUGGAACUGAAACACGGUCCAUACACCUACGGGUGGCAGCAGUAGGGAAUAUUGGUUAAUCUGCGAAAGCGGGAACCAGCAACGCCGCGUGCACGAUGAAGGCCUUCGGGUUGUAAAGUGCUUUUUGAGAGGAUGAGGAAGGACAGUACUCUUAGAAUAAGCCUCGGCUAACUACGUGCCAGCCGCCGCCGUAAUAC